rnacentral:tRNA from 1 species
CGGGAUAUAGGACAGUUUGGUAGUUCACUCGGUUUGGAACCGAGACGUCGCUGGUUCAAAUCCAGCUAUCCCGA